rnacentral:piRNA from 1 species
UACCAGUUUCUGGAGCUUGGGUCCUCUGC